rnacentral:rRNA from 1 species
CCUACGGGGAGGCAGCAGGGGGGAAUAUUGGGCAAUGGGCGCAAGCCUGACCCAGCAACGCCGCGUGAGGGAAGAAGGCCUUCGGGUUGUAAACCUCUUUUCUGAGGGACGAAGAAAGUGACGGUACCUCAGGAAUAAGCCACGCGUAACUACGGGCCAGCAGCCGCGGUAAUACGUAGGUGGCAAGCGUUAUCCGGAUUUAAUGGGGGUAAAGGGCGUGGAGGCGGGAAGGCAAGGCGGAGGUGAAAACUCAGGGCCCCAACCUGAGCCUGCAUUUGAAACUGUUUUUCUUGAGUGCUGGAGAGGCAAUCGGAAUUCGGGGUGUAGCGGUGAAAUGCGUAGAUAUACGGCGGAACCCCAGUGGCGAAGGCGGAAUGCUGGUGAGUAACUGACGCUGAGGCGCGAAAGCGUGGGGAGCAAACAGGAUUAGAUACCCCUGUAGUC